AAGUCGUAACAAGGUCUCCGUAGGUGAACCUGCGGAGGGAUCAUUAACACGUUUCCGAACGUUUAACUAUUUCACAUCAACCGCGUGAUAUAAUUGAAUCAAAUCAACCGACCUGGAAUCAAGAGAAUUCUAUCUAGAAUGCACGGAGUGAUGAGUGUGCAUGCGAGCAAUCGCAUGCAUACGGUGUAUCUAGAUUAGUAUUGCUUAUCUUACUGUAUGCGCAAGCACGCUCUGAGACUCUUUACAAGACCUCUUUUUAUCAGGCUUAUACUCGUCGUUCCCUUCAUCGCUGGAGCGCAAAACACCAUUUUCACCACUUAUAACCACUUGACUGAUAUGUUCUCAGCAUGGCGAAAGCCGCGUAUGAAACAACAAAUAAUCAAAUAUCUAAGCACAACUCUUAGCAACGGAUAUCUUGGUUCUC
rnacentral:misc_RNA from 1 species